UACGAAGGGGGCUAGCGUUGUCCGGAAUUAUUGGGCGUAAAGAGCUCGUAGGCGGUUUGUCGCGUCUGCCGUGAAAGUCCGGGGCUCAACUCCGGAUCUGCGGUGGGUACGGGCAGACUAGAGUGAUGUAGGGGAGACUGGAAUUCCUGGUGUAGCGGUGAAAUGCGCAGAUAUCAGGAGGAACACCGAUGGCGAAGGCAGGUCUCUGGGCAUUAACUGACGCUGAGGAGCGAAAGCAUGGGGGGCGAACAGG
rnacentral:rRNA from 1 species